rnacentral:rRNA from 1 species
GACGAACGCUGGCGGCGUGCUUAACACAUGCAAGUCGAACGGGAUUUAGUAAACAGAAGCCUCGGCGGAAGAUUACUAAUGAGAGUGGCGAACGGGUGAGUAACGCGUGAGCAACCUGCCUAUGACAGUGGGAUAGCCUCGGGAAACCGGGAUUAAUACCGCAUAAAAUCGUAGAAACACAUGUUUCAACGGUCAAAGAUUUAUCGGUCAUAGAUGGGCUCGCGUCUGAUUAGCUAGUUGGUGAGAUAACAGCCCACCAAGGCGACGAUCAGUAGCCGGUCUGAGAGGAUGAACGGCCACAUUGGAACUGAGACACGGUCCAAACUCCUACGGGAGGCAGCAGUGGGGAAUAUUGCACAAUGGGGGAAACCCUGAUGCAGCGACGCCGCGUGAACGAAGAAGGUAUUCGUAUCGUAAAGUUCUGUCCUAUGGGAAGAUAAUGACAGUACCAUAGAAGAAAGCUCCGGCUAAAUACGUGCCAGCAGCCGCGGUAAUACGUAUGGAGCGAGCGUUGUCCGGAAUUAUUGGGCGUAAAGGGUACGCAGGCGGUUUAAUAAGUCGAAUGUUAAAGAUCGGGGCUCAACCCCGUAAAGCAUUGGAAACUGAUAAACUUGAGUAGUGGAGAGGAAAGUGGAAUUCCUAGUGUAGUGGUGAAAUACGUAGAUAUUAGGAGGAAUACCAGUAGCGAAGGCGACUUUCUGGACACAAACUGACGCUGAGGUACGAAAGCGUGGGGAGCAAACAGG